rnacentral:rRNA from 1 species
GGGGAAUAUUGCACAAUGGGCGCAAGCCUGAUGCAGCCAUGCCGCGUGUAUGAAGAAGGCCUUCGGGUUGUAAAGUACUUUCAGCGAGGAGGAAGGCAUUAAGGUUAAUAACCUUAGUGAUUGACGUUACUCGCAGAAGAAGCACCGGCUAACUCCGUGCCAGCAGCCGCGGUAAUACGGAGGGUGCAAGCGUUAAUCGGAAUUACUGGGCGUAAAGCGCACGCAGGCGGUCUGUUAAGUCAGAUGUGAAAUCCCCGGGCUCAACCUGGGAACUGCAU